GGCCGACGAGGGGAAGGAGACAUCAUCUUCAGAAGGCAAGAUGCCCUGAAGCUGACAAGGGGAAGGAGAGAUGCCCUGAGGCUGACGAGGGGAAGGAGACUUCAUCUUCAGAAGGAGAGAUGCCCUGAGGCUGACAAGGGGAAGGAGUGAUGCCCUGAGGCUGACGAGGGGAAGGAGACUUCAUAUUCAGGAUGAGAGAUUCCCUGAGGCUGAUGAGGGGAUGGAGAGAUGCCCUGAGGCUGACGAGGGGAAGGAGAGAUGCCCUGAGGUUGACGAGGGGAAGGAGAGAUCCCCUGAGGCUGACGAGGGGAAGGAGACUUCAUCUUCAGAAGGAGAGAUGCCCUGAGGCCGACGAGGGGAAGGAGACUUCAUCUUCAGAAGGAGAGAUGCCCUGAGGCUGACGAGGGGAAGGAGACUUCAUCUUCAGAAGGAGAGAUGCCCUGAGGCUGACAAGGGGAAGGAGAGAUGCCCUGAGGCUGACGAGGGGAAGGAGACAUCAUCUUCAGAAGGAGAGAUGCCUUGAGGCUGACGAGGGGAAGGAGAGAUGCCCUGAGGCUGACGUGGGGAAGGAGACUUCAUCUUCAGGAGGAGAGAUGCCCUGAGGCUGAUGAGGGGAUGGAGAGAUGCCCUGAGGCUGACGAGGGGAAGGAGAGAUGCCCUGAGGUUGACGAGGGGAAGGAGAGAUCCCCUGAGGCUGACGAGGGGCAGUAGACUUCAUCUUCAGAAGGAGAAAUGCCCUGAGGCUGACGAGGGGAAGGAGAGAUGUCCUGAGGCUGACCAGGGGAAGGAGAGAUACCCUGAGGCUGACGAGGGGAAGGAGACUUCAUCUUCAGAAGGAGAGAUGCCCUGAGGCCGACGAGGGGAAGGAGACUUCAUCUUCAGAAGGAGAGAUGCCCUGAGGCUGACGAGGGGAAGGAGACUUCAUCUUCAGAAGGAGCGAUGCCCUGAGGCUGACGAGGGGAAGGAGAGAUGCCCUGAGGCUGAC
rnacentral:lncRNA from 1 species